UACGUAGGGUGCAAACGUUGUUCGGAAUCACUGGGCAUAAAGAGCGCGUAGGCGGUCUGACAAGUCCCCUGUGAAAGCCCCCGGCUUAACCGGGGAACUGCAUGGGAUACUGUUGGGCUAGAGUGCAGGAGGGGAGAGCGGAAUUCCUGGUGGAGCGGUGAAAUGCGUAGAUAUCAGGAGGAACGCCGGCGGCGAAGGCGGGUUGCUGGGCUGAUGACUGACGCUGAGGCGCGAAAGCCAGGGGAGCGAACGGG
rnacentral:rRNA from 1 species